rnacentral:rRNA from 1 species
UACGUAGGGGGCAAGCGUUGUCCGGAAUCAUUGGGCGUAAAGCGCGUGUAGGCGGCCCGGUAAGUCCGCUGUGAAAGUCGGGGGCUCAACCCUCGGAUGCCGGUGGAUACUGUCGGGCUUGAGUACGGAAGAGGCGAGUGGAAUUCCUGGUGUAGCGGUGAAAUGCGCAGAUAUCAGGAGGAACACCAAUUGCGAAGGCAGCUCGCUGGGACGUAACUGACGCUGAGACGCGAAAGCGUGGGGAGCAAACAGG